UACGGGGGGGGCAAGCGUUGUUCGGAAUUACUGGGCGUAAAGCGCACGUAGGCGGAUCUUUAAGUCAGGGGUGAAAUGCCAGGGCUCGACCUUGGAACUGCCUUUGAUACUGGGGAUCUGGAGUCCGGGAGAGGGAUGCGGAAUUCCAGGUGUAGCGGUGAAAUGCGUAGAUAUCUGGAGGAACACCGGUGGCGAAGGCGGCAUCCUGGACCGGUAUUGACGCUGAGGCGCGAAAGCCAGGGGAGCAAACGGG
rnacentral:rRNA from 1 species